GGCACGUGAAAUCCCGUGUGAAUCUGCGAGGACCACCUCGUAAGGCUAAAUAUUCCUAAAUGACCGAUAGUGAAAUAGUACCGUGAGGGAAAGGUGAAAAGAACCCCGAUAGGGGAGUGAAAUAGAACAUGAAACUGUAAACUUACAAGCAGUAGGAGGACGACUUAACGUCUGACUGCGUGCCUGUUGAAGAAUGAGCCGGCGACUUAUAAGUAUUGGCAGGUUAAUUGUUGGAGCCAUAGCGAAAGCGAGUCUGAAUAGGGCGUUUGUCAUUGCUUAGACCCGAACCCG
rnacentral:rRNA from 1 species